AACGAACGCUGGCGGCAGGCCUAACACAUGCAAGUCGAACGGGAUCUUCGGAUCUAGUGGCGGACGGGUGAGUAACGCGUGUGAACGUGCCCUUUGGUUCGGAAUAGCCCCGGGAAACUGGGAGUAAUACCGGAUAAGCCCUACGGGGGAAAGAUUUAUCGCCAAAGGAUAGGCCCGCGUUGGAUUAGGUAGUUGGUGGGGUGAUGGCUCACCAAGCCGACGAUCCAUAGCUGGUUUGAGAGGAUGACCAGCCACACUGGGACUGAGACACGGCCCAGACUCCUACAGGGGGCAGCAAUGGGGAAUCGUGGACAAUGGGGGAAACCCUGAUCUAGCCAUGCCGCGUGAUCGAUGAAGGCCUUAGGGUUGUAAAGAUCUUUCAGUGGGGAAGAUAAUGACUGUACCCACAGAAGAAGCCCCGGCUAACUCCGUGCCAGCCGCCGCCGUAAGAC
rnacentral:rRNA from 1 species